GGUUCCUUCUCCCAACGGCUGUUUUGAGAUCUCCUCACAGUAGUUUGAAGCUAUUUUUAUCUGGACUCAUUGCUGGUCACUUCUGAAUUCUACUGCGUUUUGUCUCGUAUGAUUUGUGUCACUGACCCAGCUUUUUCAUACUGGACCCUACAUUGUGCUCCAAAACUCUUUAGUAGUCUUCAGAUUUCAUGAAGCAAGGCACCCAGUGCGACAAGCAGCAAAGCAACCCCAAAACAUCUGACAUUCUUCCAGAAAAUUGUGGCAUCCUCAGCUUGUACUUAUUGGAAUGGUAUAGCUACUGCUGUGCUGACUCACCACUCAUGAAAUGAUCGUUUUUCAGAAGAACACUGUGUAUAUACAGUAGUUUAGUUACAAAUCCUCUUCAUGACAUCUCAUGUAUACAGUGUCCAGUCUUUAUGAAAGAUCUGUAAAUAAUACCUCAUAUCACGCUAAUAGGAAGAUACAGAUUUUUUGUCCAAUCAUGUUAAUAAAUACAUAAUGGUACUAAUGAUUCAUUUAGCAGAUAUGCUGUUGAAAUGAAUUAAUGUUUAAAUUUUAAACUGGAUGUAGUUUUAUGCCUUGUUGAAAAUCAUUGA